GCCUUUCGGGGUGGAUUAGUGGCGAACGGGUGAGUAACACGUGGGCAAUCUGCCCUUCACUCUGGGACAAGCCCUGGAAACGGGGUCUAAUACCGGAUAACACUCUGUCCUGCAUGGGACGGGGUUAAAAGCUCCGGCGGUGAAGGAUGAGCCCGCGGCCUAUCAGCUUGUUGGUGGGGUAAUGGCCUACCAAGGCGACGACGGGUAGCCGGCCUGAGAGGGCGACCGGCCACACUGGGACUGAGACACGGCCCAGACUCCUACGGGAGGCAGCAGUGGGGAAUAUUGCACAAUGGGCGAAAGCCUGAUGCAGCGACGCCGCGUGAGGGAUGACGGCCUUCGGGUUGUAAACCUCUUUCAGCAGGGAAGAAGCGAAAGUGACGGUACCUGCAGAAGAAGCGCCGGCUAACUACGUGCCAGCAGCCGCGGUAAUACGUAGGGCGCAAGCGUUGUCCGGAAUUAUUGGGCGUAAAGAGCUCGUAGGCGGCUUGUCACGUCGGAUGUGAAAGCCCGGGGCUUAACCCCGGGUCUGCAUUCGAUACGGGCUAGCUAGAGUGUGGUAGGGGAGAUCGGAAUUCCUGGUGUAGCGGUGAAAUGCGCAGAUAUCAGGAGGAACACCGGUGGCGAAGGCGGAUCUCUGGGCCAUUACUGACGCUGAGGAGCGAAAGCGUGGGGAGCGAACAGGAUUAGAUACCCUGGUAGUCCACGCCGUAAACGUUGGGAACUAGGUGUUGGCGACAUUCCACGUCGUCGGUGCCGCAGCUAACGCAUUAAGUUCCCCGCCUGG
rnacentral:rRNA from 1 species